rnacentral:rRNA from 1 species
AAGUCGUAACAAGGUUUCCGUAGUGAUCCUUCGAAGCCUUUUCACACAACGACUCUAACAAAAUCGUGUGCAGUCCCUUCCAUUAUGAUUUGGGGCUACGUCACUAAAGUGCUGGGAUACAAAGUUCUGUAAAUCAGCAGCCAAGCAGAAAGAAAACUUCAAUGUUUGGUUCACAGAUUAGCUGAGUGACGGUCAGUGAGAGAUCAACAAAGAAUCAUCACUGAUGAAGAUAUAAUCGGUCUCUAUUUUAUCCAUAGCGAUGGCACGUUCCGUAGGUGAACCUGCGGAAGGAUCAUUAUCGAGUUAGGGUUCUCUGGGCCCCAUCUCCAACCCUUGUCUAUCCACCACGUUGCUUUGGCGGGCCCGUUCCCUCGCGGGACCGCCAGGGAGGGAUCUCCCUGGCCGCGCCCGCCAAUAGCCCCCACAAAUCCUUCUAUCGGUGUUGUCUAAGUCCCUCAGAAUAAACAAAACUUUCAACAACGGAUCUCUUGGUUCUGGCAUCGAUGAAGAACGCAGCGAAAUGCGAUAAGUAAUGCGAAUUGCAGAAUUCCGUGAGUCAUCGAAUCUUUGAACGCACAUUGCGCCCUUUGGUAUUCCGAAGGGCAUGCCUGUCCGAGCGUCAUGAUCAACCCUCAAGCCCGGCUUGCCGUUGGGUCCCACCGCUGCGAGACGCGGUGGACCCGAAAGACAAUGGCCGAGUCCGCGGGGCCCCGGAUACAGCGAGCUUUCAGCACGUGUCCAGGCGCCUCCCGGCUCCGUCUUGACCAAACAAUUUAUCAGGUUGACCUCGGAUCAGGUAGGAAUACCCGCUGAACUUAAGCAUAUCAAUAAGCGGAGGAAAAGGAACCAACAGGGAUUGCCUCAGUAACGGCGAGUGAAGCGGCAACAGCUCAAAUUUGAAAUCUGGCCCCUCUCGGGGUCCGAGUUGUAAUUUGUAGAGGACGCUUCGGGCAAGGCCGCGGUCUAAUUCGCUUGGAACAGCGAGUCACAGAGGGUGAGAAUCCCGUCUAGGACCGUGUGCCGCGCCCGUGUGAAGCUCCUUCGACGAGUCGAGUUGUUUGGGAAUGCAGCUCUAAAUGGGUGGUAAAUUUCAUCUAAAGCUAAAUAUGGGCCAGAGACCGAUAGCGCACAAGUAGAGUGAUCGAAAGAUGAAAAGCACUUUGAAAAGAGAGUUAAACAGUAUGUGAAAUUGUUGAAAGGGAAGCGCUUGCGACCAGACUUGCGUGUGACGGUUCCCCCGGUCUUCUGACCGGGUCACUCCGUCACUCCAGGCCAGCAUCGGUCCGGGUGGGCGGUGAAAGACCCCGGGAAUGUAUCUACCUCCGGGUCGACUUAUAGCCCGGGGUGCAAUGCGCCCUACCUGGACCGAGGAACGCGCUCCGGCUCGGAUGCUGGCGUAAUGGUCGCAAGCGGC